rnacentral:lncRNA from 1 species
ACGAAAGUGGGAGCACCUCUUGUCUGAAAGAGUCGUUCUCUGAUUGCACAUAGGUGUCAGAAAAGCUGCCGUUCACAGUAUUUUCCCUGGUGUUCACUUGCACCUCUGAAACUCCUGUCGUGGAUCUGGUUUUCAACUGUUAUUUAAUAGUUGAAGAAUUAGGAUUUGCACCUAUUUAGAGGGAAUGGAUACAGUACACCCUUCUCAAACCAUUUUUUUUUCCAAUUUAAUGCUUAAGUGGUCAUUGAUGGCUUUCGAUGAGAGUAAUAUGUCUUAUGAUUUCCAAACUGUAACUAACUCAAGUUAACGAGGAGAAUUUCACUUAAUGGCACCAAUUCUUGAUGGCUAAACUCGCUGGAGGUAAUCUGAAUGAAAAGACUGACUUUGUCGUUUCUCUUUCUGCACCCACAAAAGGGGGAAAAGAACUAACUGCUGAUAGUUAUUGCUUUCAUCUGUACCAUUUCCAGCUUGCAUUUACUGUCACGAAACACACUUGUGUUUAAUUCCACAUAUUUUAGUAAUUGUUGCAAACUGGAGAAGAGGUAUCAAGCACUUAUCUCUAGGAGAACUUAAGUAUGGUAUUUCAAAGCCAGGAAGAGGAAGAAGAGCGUUACCUCCUUGUCUUCCAGGGGAAAAGAAAGACCUUUGAAGGAUACAUUCAACCAUUACCACAGUCAAUUUGAGAACAUUUUCAUCACCUCAAAAAGAAACUGUGUACUCUUUAGUGAUCACUCCUCUGCUCCGUUCCACUCCCUGUGAUGUCCCCGCCACCUGACAAUCACCUAUUUUCUAUCUGCAUGGAUUUGACUAUUCUGGACAUUGCAUAUAAAUGGAAUAAUAAUAUGUGCUAUUUUGCCUGGCUUCUUUCACUUAGUAUCAUGUUUUCGAGGUUCAUCCAUGUUGUAGCAUGUAUCAGCACUUCAUUCCUUUUUAUGGCUGAAUAAUAUUCCAUUGUGUAGAUAUACCACAUUUUGUUUAUCCGUUCAUCAGUUGAUGGACGUUGAGGUUGUUUCUACAUUUUGGCUACUAUGAAUAAUGCUGCUAUGAACAUCUGUGUACAAGUUUUUGUGUAGAGUUAUAUUUUCAGUUUUCUCGGGUAUACACAAAGGAGUGGAAUUGCUAUGUCAUAUGGCAAUCUGUUUAAUCUUUUGAAGAACUGCAAGACUGCUUCCCAUAGAGCAUGCUCCAUUUUGCAUUCCCACCAGCUGUGUAGGAGGGUUCUGAUUUCUCCACAUCCUCACCAGCACUUGUUAUUAUCUGACUUUUUAAUGUUAGCCAUUCUAGAUGGUAUAAAGUGAUAUCUCACUGGGUCAUCCCGUUUUCUAGAUCCUGUGUCUCCCUCCAUCUAGGUUUCCUUUCUUGUGUUGGAGCAUAACUUCCAAUAGCUUCCUGAGAACCAGUGAACAGGAGCUAAAUCAUUUUAGGUCUUGCAUGUCUUUAAAUGUUUUUAUUCAAAUUACAUUGAGGGGCCUGGGGCAGUUUGUAUUCAUAAUUUUGUAUUCUUUUUUCUUAACAAAUUCUGUAAG